AUCAAAAGCACUUUGAAAAGAGGGUGAAAAGAACCUGAAACCGUUACGAGGGAAGCGUAUUGCGUUGAAUUGGUGGCUAUAAUUGUGUUCAACCGUUCAGGUGUAUUCACAAUUUGGUUAUCUGUCGUGCCUUUCCUGUGUCUGAUAUUGAGCCGCAGGAGAGGGAGGGAUCCCCUGUAUGGGUUGAGGACGAUAGAGUGACAACGCGAUGCGACCCGUCUUGAAACACGGACCAAGGAGUCUAACACAGUUGCGAGUCGAAGGGUAGUAAAACCUGUAGGCGCAGUGAAAGCGAACUUUCCAGAACUGGCAGUUUGUGGCGGCAUAAAAUCGUUGAUUUUAGGUCCGACCUAGAGCAGUUGUGUUAGGACCCGAAAGAUGGUGAACUAUGCUUGAGUAGGACGAAGUCAGAAGAAAUUCUGAUGGAGGUCCGAAGCGGUGCUGACGUGCAAAUCGCUCGUCGAACUUGAGUAUAGGGGCGAAAGACUAAUCGAACCAUCUAGUAGCUGGUCCCUCCGAA
rnacentral:rRNA from 1 species